rnacentral:pre_miRNA from 1 species
CUAAUACUCCCUCCGUCCGGAAAUACUUGCCAUCAAAAUGAAUAAAAGAGAAUGUAUCUAGACUCAUUUUAGUUUUAGAUACAUUCUUUUUUGUCCAUUUUGAUGACAAGUAUUUUCGGACGGAGGGAGUAAGUC